GACGAACGCUGGCGGCGUGCUUAACACAUGCAAGUCGAACGCUGAAGACCUGGCUUUUGUUGGGUUGGAUGAGUGGCGAACGGGUGAGUAACACGUGAGUAACCUGCCCUCUUCUUUGGGAUAACGCCCGGAAACGGGUGCUAAUACUGGAUAUUCACUGGCCUUCGCAUGGGGGUUGGUGGAAAGGUUUGUUCUGGUGGGGGAUGGGCUCGCGGCCUAUCAGCUUGUUGGUGGGGUGAUGGCCUACCAAGGCUUUGACGGGUAGCCGGCCUGAGAGGGUGACCGGUCACAUUGGGACUGAGAUACGGCCCAGACUCCUACGUGAGGCAGCAGUGGGGAAUAUUGCACAAUGGGCGAAAGCCUGAUGCAGCGACGCCGCGUGAGGGAUGGAGGCCUUCGGGUUGUAAACCUCUUUCGCUCAUGGUCAAGCCGCAACUGUGGGUUGUGGUGAGGGUAGUGGGUAAAGAAGCGCCGGCUAACUACGUG
rnacentral:rRNA from 1 species